AACAAAGUUCACACUGACAACAGAGGGCGAGUGGCAGAGAGUCGAGAACAGUGGCAGAUCUGAUCAAAUGGCAAAAGCAGAGGAAAAGAUUAUUCCUCAGAGCAAGAAUGUCUUCUUUUGGGUUCUUUUUUUUCUUUUAUUUUUUGCAAAAUAAAUAAAUAAAAAUAAAUUGCUGUCACACUCUGACAGAGGUUGGACCUGGCAGGACACCAAAGGAUCCUGAAAACUAACAAGCAUGGAGGUGCUGAGUGGCCCCUGGGCUGAUCUGGCCCUCCUCCUGCAACAGACUGUCACGCUCACAAACAGAGACACAGACAGCUUUCUUCCUCUCUGGCUGUUUGGAUUGUUGCUAUUCCUGUCAGUCUGUCUGCUGCUGCUGCAACUAAUCAUCUACUUCAGCUGGAAACUCAGACAGGCUGAGGCGGAUCUGUCCAGUCUUGAGCAGGACCGAAGUGCCAUCCACAGGCAGAGGCACAGAAGUGCCAGUCUGAGGAGGAGAAGUUUUGGAUCACAUUCCUAUUCCUGACAGGAAUCUCUAGCAGUGAUGGACUAAUUUAACUUAUGUACAUUACAUAUAAUAUGUGAACACUCCUCAGUGUGGAAAUAGUGGAUACGUCUCAAAAUGUGUAACAACUCUUUUGCAUCGUUUUCUUAAAUUGGAUACUGUAGUGUUAAUAUGAUAUUGAUCUUCUACACAGUUCUCAGCUUAUCUACGUCGGUUUGCAUUAUUUAGGUUUUAAUAUCAAUAAAACAAGUGCAUGGGGGAAAAAAAGACGACUGGAAGUGUUUCAGAGUAUAACAAUUGUUUAUUUGAACAGUGUUACACAGGGGCGAGGAGUGGCUGCGUGUGAGGAGACAACACGAUUUAUGCAGCUAGACUAAAACAACCUACCAGUGAUGUUUUGGUAGCAGGAAGCAAAGAGGCGGCUGGUUAAUUUCUCCAAAAUGUCCGUCUUCAUAAAAGUGUUUUAGAUGAGAUACAAAAAUGUGCCGUCAUUGUGCGGAAUAAACAAUCUGAUUAUAGAGACAUUUUAGUUAAAAAUCCCAGACAAAUUUAAAAUCAGCUGGUAAUGAUCGUCAGCUUUGUAAUCUGAAUAAAAAGAUUAAAAUUCAGAUUUUUUUUUUUUUUUUUAAAUAAAGUUGUCAUUAAAGCUACAAACAUUUUUGGAAAAGUCAACCUGGCCUCCCCCUAAAGCUCCUGCGGUCGGUUCAAAGAGAGAAAAAAAGCCCUGAACCAGAAGCAGAGAAAAGGUGGCAAAAACAAGUUGAUCUGUAGUGGUUUUUCUUCACCAACAAAAUACACAGUGGCAAUAUUACAAACAAGCAGGAAGGUGGAGCGACAGACCCCACCCUCCCAAACUACUAGACCAGUUUCACAGAGAAAAGACGAACCGUGAGAGACUCUACAGAUUCAGCUGAUGUGGCGUUACAGAUUUAUUUAAUGAGAUUUUCCUAUGUGGAACAGCAGUCGCUUCCAAAAGCUGCCUAGAGAUGAAA